rnacentral:rRNA from 1 species
GAUGAACGCUGGCGGCGUGCCUAAUACAUGCAAGUCGAGCGAACAGACGAGGAGCUUGCUCCUCUGACGUUAGCGGCGGACGGGUGAGUAACACGUGGAUAACCUACCUAUAAGACUGGGAUAACUUCGGGAAACCGGAGCUAAUACCGGAUAAUAUAUUGAACCGCAUGGUUCAAUAGUGAAAGACGGUUUUGCUGUCACUUAUAGAUGGAUCCGCGCCGCAUUAGCUAGUUGGUAAGGUAACGGCUUACCAAGGCAACGAUGCGUAGCCGACCUGAGAGGGUGAUCGGCCACACGGGAACUGAGACACGGUCAAGACUCCUACGGGAGGCAGCAGUAGGGAAUCUUCCGCAAUGGGCGAAAGCUUGACGGAGCAACGCCGCGUGAGUGAUGAAGGUCUUCGGAUCGUAAAACUCUGUUAUUAGGGAAGAACAAAUGUGUAAGUAACUAUGCACGUCUUGACGGUACCUAAUCAGAAAGCCACGGCUAACUACGUG